CUCUCGUUCCGAGGGAAGAGAAGGAACCGUCUGCACAAACGUCUAGUGAUACGGAUGGAACUGUCGACGACGCAAAGGAAAUGAGGCCAGGAGUGAGGGCCUGGGUUCUCACCGUGAGUGGAAUAUGGAUGAUGGGAGGCCGGUGCCCAGGCGGGGGCGGUUCCUCUGGCUGCUCGAUAAACAACGGUGCUGUGGAUCCUGGCUCAUACUCAAUCUCAGUUUCCAGGUUCUGAAGGUCUGAAUACCUGAAUCUUGCGACAUG